ACAGGAUUCCCCUAGUAACUGCGAGUGAAGCGGGAAAAGCUCAAAUUUAAAAUCUGGCMSYCUUUGAUUGUCCGAGUUGUAAUCUAGAGAAGUGUUAUCCGCGCUGGACCGUGUACAAGUCUCCUGGAAUGGAGCGUCAUAGAGGGUGAGAAUCCCGUCUUUGACACGGACUGCCAGGGCUUUGUGAUGCGCUCUCAAAGAGUCGAGUUGUUUGGGAAUGCAGCUCAAAAUGGGUGGUAAAUUCCAUCUAAAGCUAAAUAUUGGCGAGAGACCGAUAGCGAACAAGUACCGUGAGGGAAAGAUGAAAAGAACUUUGGAAAGAGAGUUAAACAGUACGUGAAAUUGCUGAAAGGGAAACGCUUGAAGUCAGUCGCGUUGUCUGGGAAUCAACCUUGCUUUUGCUGGGCGUACUUUCCAGAUAAUGGGUCAGCAUCAAUUUUGAUCGUUGGAUAAAGUCGAGAGGAAUGUGGCAUCUUCGGAUGUGUUAUAGCCUUUUGUCGCAUACAACGGUUGGGAUUGAGGAACUCAGCACGCCGCAAGGCCGGGUACUUGUACCACGUUCGUGCUUAGGAUGCUGGCAUAAUGGCUUUAAUCGACCCGUCUUGAAACACGGACCAAGGAGUCUAACAUGCCUGCGAGUAUUUGGGUGGAAAACCCGAGUGCGCAAUGAAAGUGAAAGUUGAGAUCCCUGUCAUGGGGAGCAUCGACGCCCGGACCAGACCUUUUGUGACGGAUCUGCGGUAGAGCAUGUAUGUUGGGACCCGAAAGAUGGUGAACUAUGCCUGAAUAGGGUGAAGCCAGAGGAAACUCUGGUGGAGCUCGUAGCGAUUCUGACGUGCAAUCGAUCGUCAAUUUGGGUAUAG
rnacentral:rRNA from 1 species